rnacentral:lncRNA from 1 species
GACAGACUUCAAAACAUGAUGAGGAAGGUGGAACGUAACUGUUGCCCACUUUGCAACUUUAUGAUUUGCUGCUGUUUCAUGUGAGGUAUUUUUUAAACCAUCCUUCAGUUGUGUGAUGAAUAAGUCAUAUCCCUCUGUGCUAGAAACAUCUACUUUUUCUAUGCAAGCAGAUAACAGCUGCUGAGCCUCUGUAACUGGCAAUUCAAGCUGAACCACAUCAUCUUGUUUUGAAACAGGUGUUUGCAGAGCUGUGUCUAACAAUAAGAUGCCGUUGAGAUCUUUCCUACAUCCUACUGCAUAAUCGUCCACAAAGAUCACUUUAUCCACAGCAGAAAUAUACUGACAUUUCACCCGUCCACCUGGUUUAGCGUUGAGGGCCGAGGCCUGCAGCGUGGCCCCCGACGUGCCGUCGAUGACUUUGAUGGCGCCGCGCGCGGUCACGGCCAGGAUGGCGUUGAGCGCCGGGUGGUAGCACAGGCUGCACAGCCCGUCGGCGUCGCAGCGCAGGCAGCCGUCCCGCAGCAGCAGCCACUCGCAGGAGCCCGGCCCGGCCGACGCCGGCCCCGGUCCGGGCCCAGCGGGAGCCGCCGCGGAGCAGGAGGCCGCCGCCGCCGCCAUGUUGCCGGCCGCCGCCGCCGCCGCCCUCAGCACAAGAGGCCCGGGGCCGCUCAGUGACAGGCCCGGCCGCCGCCAGUCACCAUCCGGGUCCGGUGAGAGGGGGAAAGGGAGAGCGCCAGCGUGAGCGGGAAGUGACGCAAUCGCGCCGGAUGCGGAACCGAGCGCGGGUCUGAGAGCGGGAGGAGGGAAGGAGCGAUCGCCCGUCACAGAGAAUGGCGGGCGGGAAGGAACUGAGGGGCGGGGCUGGGCCGCGCGCGCUGCCUCCGAAGGGCGCGAGCCUCCCGCGCGCCGCCGGGCCGCUCGCGCGCGCGCGCAGGGCCACACCGCCUGACGGCGGCGGCAGCUCCGCCCCCGGCGGGAGGGCGGCGGCCGCGCCUCGUGCCGAGCCCUCUCCGGCGCGCCGUUAGCUCUUUGGGUAAAAGAUCGGCCCGCGCGACGCUCCUCGGCGCGCGCUCUUCUCGCGCUGGGAGAACGGUGCGGGAACUCCCGGGGGAGUCCGCCGGGCGCCGGGAGCGCGAGGGCGCCUCUGGGUGGGAGGUGCCGCUCCGCGCGCCGCUGUCGCGCCAGCGGCCGCCUGUAAGCGGGCUUCGAAAACGCCAGGUUUUGUGCCGCCCUAGUGGCGGGCGGCCUCCGGUGCCCGCCUGGCGUCGGAGCCGGCGCUACGAAGGCGUUGGAGCCCUUCGGCCCUCAGUGCCGCGGGCUUCAGCAACAGCGCUUCCCCGCGCAGGAACGACUUUAUCAAAGGAUUCGAAUUAACAGACGUUAAUAGUGGGAAAACAAGUUCAGAAAGUGCCCGUGUCUCCAAGCCAGAGCGAGGGCUUCCGUGUAAUGUCCGUGUGGGUGUGCAGGUGAGAACUGCUCAGUUUCCAUGCAGCAAAGAGCACGUGGCUGUUGUGCAUCUCCAUCUUGACGUCAGGUGCUCCAUCUCGAGCAGGCCCAUGAUGCAGGUAGGUAGCACACGUCCAUGCGUGACAAAUAAAGGCUGUAUGUUGAUUAUGGCCAGCAUCUAUUUAUUGUCACAAAGCUUGGGAUGGGUGACAGGGAUAGGAACAGAGAUGUGCCUUAAUAAGUAUACAUUACAUAAACAGGUUUAAUGAAAAACUUUUAUAAAAUACAUCUUGUACUUACACAUACCUUAUCUAAAAAUAAGUUUAUUGAAUGCAAAGUUAUUACAAACCAUGAGAACCGUUUGAGCUGUUUGUACAUAUUUUUGCACAGCGUAUGCAAAAGGUGACCCUAAGGAUGCCGAGUAGAAGGUGCAAAUCUGCAAUUGCGUACAAAAUACGUACUGUUGUGCAUAUUGACAUUGCAUAUGACAUGUGCCCAAUCUGCCAAAAGGAACACUGAAGUUGCAGCUAUCAGUUCCACAGAACGCCAAUAGAGAGGAAACGAAGGUGUUUGAAGACAAAAUAGAACGCUGCGGCGUCCUCAAUAUUUAUAGUCAUUUCAGACGCACGGGUCUAUUAUGAACACCAACAGAAGAGCUGUGCACAGAGGAGGUGAGCCAAAAGCUCUCUGACAGCCCAGUAAGCUACGUGCAUCCUUACCCCUCACAUUUGCGGUGGCAUAAGGUGUGAACUCUCAGUGUUUGUCUGGAGUCUUACAGCCUGGCACUCCUGAUUGAAAAACACAGCCAUGAAAGAGGUAAGACCAGAUUAUUAUUCAAGGUUAUCAAGGUAGUGUGCAUCACUUCAACUUUUCUUUUUUGUUAAGUAGGGAAUGAGUAUUCUCAAAAUACUUCCGGAUAAGAACUAAGCUGCCAGCAUAAUUGGUUUAUUAUGACUACAGCAAUUCUACCAAAACUUCCACAGAAGUCAAAAAUUAGGUGAAAAGUCCAGUCGCUCCACCAGUUUGUGUCCUUUAAUGUAUUACAAGCUAGAAUUAUGUUACAGUUUACGUCCAGUAUCAACGUCCAGUAGUUUUGUUUCAAACCAACGCAAGCAUCAGCCAGAAGAGCAGUCCAAGUAAGCUAAAGGAUCACAGUAGAAUUGGAAUUUACAUAUGUAUUUUGCAUCAACAAUGAGUGGUAAAAACAAGUUGCUAAAAUGGCAAGUUACGCCAUCGAAAAAGCUGAGAAACUUCGGAUAAGGAAAUACAUCCAUUAGGGAUGAAAGACGGGCCUUGCCUUACCUUUGAUGGGUGAUUUUUAUUUCCUGCAUUGGGGUGGGGGGGAGGACAAAAAAAAGGCUAUGGAAAUGCUUCCCCCAACCAAAAGAUUAAAAAAAGAUACUUCAGAUCUAAAUGGUAACACUAAGUACUGAAGGCUGCAAACAACUAAGUACCAUGCAAAGUGAACUUCAGUGGAGCUUCCUUGUGAAGAAACGUUACCGUUAGGACUAUUACAUAAGCAGUCAACACAGUACACAGGAAAUAUUUAACGUCAUCACAUUAUUACAUAAUCCUUGGAUAGUCAAAAUUAGCAAGACUGUUACUGAGGCUGCAGUUCUAGCUCUUCUCCUUGGGGGGACGGGGAAGAAUCUGGCCUUACAAGCAUCAUUACUUUUUGCAAGGGAUCAACCUUGGGAAAAAAAUAUAUGCAGGUUAAAUGUUAUUACUAUUAAAACAAAUAGAGUAAGAUGUUAUAAAAUAUAGUUAGGGAAGCAUUCUUUUUAUUUUGUCAUCAUAAAACAUUGUUUCAAGAGCACACAAAUUGGAUAGGUCAUCUUUUUUUCCCCCUCUGACACUAAGCCAGCACUACAGUUGAGGAAGGCGCUCACCUAUUUCUUUGCAAAUUUAAAACUUGAGUAAAUUAAUUUGAGUCUCGAAAGAAGCAACUGAAUGAUUUAUGCUACACAGCAAGUGCCUUGCUCCUCUGCUCAGAGAUGGUAAAUGAAGACCUCAAACACUUGUAUUUUCAAAUGUUAAAAACCCAAUAUACACCCUUAACCAAGGAGUACUUAUGCUACACGCAAGUCAUAGAUACAAAAUACACAGUAUGUACAUCUUUUGGAAACAAAUUGGAAUUUAUAAAAACUCAAGAGCCAAAUCAAAGUAAUUGAGGCACUAAAUUAUAAGUAGUAUCUUCAUGUCUUCAUUAUACAGCCUAUUCUGUGAACAAUAAGGACUGUUUAAUAAAUAUAUAUAUUAUCUACAGAAUCUGCUGUGCCAAAAAAGCCAGCUGUUUAAGCUCAAAAGAAAAAAUUGCACUUUGAGAUUGUUACAAUUAACUUAUUUUUCUCCUCUAAUAUAGUAAUCUGGUCCUGGUGCUUUUGGCACAGGUAUAGAGUUGUGGUUUUGCUACGCUUUUGUUUUUAUGUUUUUUAUAAAACACAAGGUCUUUUAUUUUGUUCAUUAAAAUCUGAAGAGUCUUAAACAAACCUAGAACUUUGAUACAAAUCUAUAUAGCUACAAUUACUUCAUUAAAUAAUAUACACAAAUAUGCUCUUCAAUCUUAAAACAUCUUGACAACUGGAUACAAAACAGUCACUUGUGUUAUUUCCAGCCUCCUUAAUCUUACGCGUUAUCAGUCUGCAAGUGAAGAAAACAUGGGUUUUGGCCACAUCUCUCACUAGAUCACACCCCAGUGUACAAGGACAGGAAAUAAAUGUAUAAUAAAAAGAUGGGAUAAAUUAGAAGGGGCUUCUUGGUCUUGAAUUCUUCUCCGACUAGUAAAGAUGCAGCGCUGUAUGCAGCCCAAAAGACUCCAAACAGCUGAAAAAGAAAACAAACGGUCUUAGCUGAUGCCAUUAGGAAAUUGCUCAGAAUUAAAAAGAACAAGCGUUACUUUCAACAUAAUUAGAAAUGUACAGCUUUGUGUGGAAGGAAGAAAAUAAUAAAGCAAGCCUCACAAACAAUACUUCUGAGCCCACACAUGCAAUAAUACGCUAUCAAUAAUCACUUAAGUCUUGGGAAGUAUUUAACAGAGGUGUGUUACUUUAGUCUAAAGACAACAUUUCUACCGAGGCAAGCAGCUAACGUACACUUAGUUUUCUCUAAUGUAAGACACAUGGAUAAUGCAAGUUGUAAGCUUCUUCAACUCAAAAAACACUGAUUAUUUUUCUCUGAAGAAAAAGAUUGCCAUGCUCGACUCUUCCUCCUAUGACACGUACCAGAGGGUUAAAUUGCCCUUUUUUUACUUCAGAAUUUGUCUGACUCAUAAGCUUCACUUUAAUUAUGAGCCCCCAACUUAAAGUAACUAAAACUUUAUGUUCCUAUGCCUUUCAGGUGCAGUGAGAAGCUACCCAGAAUAGAAUCUGUAUCAAACACCUGAUUGCUUCCUCAGUUAAUAACUAACCAUUUCAAAAGACUUGCAGAAAUUAUCAUUACGUGUAAAUAUUCACUAUGUUACAUGUAGUCAGUCCACCUACUUUUUAAAACUUUAUUUUUAAAAGCCUUCAGGUCGGUGAAUUUGACACAAGUCUCAAGCUAAUAAGGUCACAGCAAAAAUAAUGGGACAUCUUUUAUCCUCAAGCAACAACUUGAAUAUUAAUGAAAAAGGAAAAGCACCCAUUUCCUGCAAACAGCAAGGCCAAAGGUCUGUUAUGUCUGCCCUUCACUGAACAGAAUCCCAGUAAAGAAUUUUUCCCACAGUGCUAUCAGAGAAGCUCAAGAUGCUUGAUGGAUUGUGUGACUGGCUCAACUGCCACUGCUAAAAAGAAACCAACCCCCACUGCAUACUUGUGCUUGAGCUGCCUCAACUGGGACUGAUACAUGUGUACAUGUGUACACACACACAUAUACAUACACAUUAUAUAUAUAUAUAUUCCUGAUUUCCCUGAAUUCCCUUAUACAUUAAGAAAACUGCAGCAAAAAGCAAACAAAAAAAACGCAAUCAAGGUGCUUUACUUAAAUAGUUUACUUUGCUGACUGCAGCUGGAAGACAACUGACUAAUGCUGUUUCCCUACUUAAGUUCCCCAACUUUAAGACUGAGGAGUAUUUCCCCAGAACUCCUAAGCCAUAGGAAGUAGUACUUGUCACAGUGUAGGUAGUUUUGACCAUGUGGAGCUCGUCCUGCAUUUUCACACUAAUCAACCAAAAGUAAGGAACUUGUACAAGUUUGCCCUGAAGUUAAUAUAAGGCUAUUAAUAGCAAUCAGGUAACAGAAGUUUCAUGAACUACUUGUAUUUAUUUUUAAGUUACACAUUAGUUAACUGCCAAGUUAAUAAUUUGCUUUCUGAAUCUAUCACCUAAUAGUAAUUGCAAGUUAUCGUAUCACAAGCAAAGCUAUUAUUCUGGUUUGUCAUACAGUUAGUUGCAUUUCAAUCAUACUGUAAACCAGCAAGCCAAUAGGACAGAAAUUAAUCAAAUCAUCAGAACAAGAUCUCAACAAGUUUCCUCAGUCAGCGCCAGAAGUUUAGCAAUGACUUCAGAAGCUAACUACAAGGGUUGUAUUAAGUGUUCAAGAACCUUAUGCACUUCUAUGAUCUAUCAGGGAAUGAUGCUAGUUUCAUAAAUGGUGCCCAACGGCAGGUAGCAUCAAGCACACCAUUUCUGCUUAGUGCCCCACAUCCUACGUCUGUAAAGCAAUAAGUAAAACUUGAUGACGGGGGAAGGGACAGAACAGCUUAUUUUCAGAUACUUCAUUUUGAUUUUUAAUUAUGCAUCCUUCUUUAAAAAUGAUAGUCCUAUUUAAUUUUUAAUGCAACUAAUAUAACGUGGCAAAACAGAAGCUAAGCUGACAAAAACAGGUGAUUUUAUAUUUCCCUGGGGACUGUACAUUCCCAAAAACUCAAAAGAAACAUUUAAAACAGAAUUUGCUUAGCAGCCAUAACCAAAAGAACCACAGAAUUCAGGUUAUAUUUCUAAGUAUUUUAACAUACGUUGUCCUGAAUGGAUUCAUACAUCAAAUGUUAGGAAAGUGUCUCAGAGUAACAGUAAACAAUUCUCAAUACAUGUUACUGAACUUACUUUUAUUAAGGUAGAAACCACUUCGAAUGAUCCAACCACCAGAAGUACAGGUGCUAUGACAAUGAGGGGAAGCAAGGAAUAUCCUAUCACACCAAGAACUUGGCCAUAAGCAACCUGGAAUUUUCAAGUGCAUAAAAACAAACUUUAGUACAAAAUGACUUUCAUCAAACAACUUUAUCCUGUUAUAACUGUAUGAGGAACCAUAACAAUGUGUUGACAAUUCAUGAAUUUUUAGCCAAAAGAAGAUUGCCAGCAUGCAAACUGUUUUUUCUAUUCAAUCUUCUAGAAUCCUGUAGUUAAUCUUCCUAAGAAACACAACUUGUUUUAAAAACCAAAACAAAUACAGCUUCAGAUGACAAUUUUAACACUUCCAAGGGAAGCAUAAGACCUACAUCACGAUCUAGAACCUGACAUACUAUGACUAGCUUAAACAGAUUUGUUCAAAGUACUUCCAAAACUGCUUUUAGCUUCAUGGUAUUAAGAUGUCGGAAUUUUCCCUAUGACAGUUGGAAACGUCCCUUGGCUCAGUUAGACUUCCUGGAUUUAACUUAGGAAAAAUAGCAGCAAGACAAGCAACUGUCUUUAAGCAACUUCUUGUGGCAGUACGUCCCCCACAAUCAACUCUGAACAGCUUUAGUGAUCCCCCUGCCCUUUCUCACCAGUUUAUACAUUCUGAUAACUUUACAUCUUAAGCCACAAAACCUACAGACUUAAAGGCAUCUGGAUUAUGCUGGUAUGCUAAAAUACCACGCAAUCACAUUCAUAAAAGCUUUUUCUUUCCAAGCACUUUUCAGACAAGAAGCCUUUAGCAAUUAUGAUUAAAGGGAAAACCUAAAAAGUAAAAAAUAAUAAAAAAAAAAACACCAAGCCACACUAAACUUAAAUAAUGUAGGAAGUCUGCAAAACUAGCUUAUCAUUAAUAGAAAAAUGCAUAGUAAAAAUAUGAAAAUUACUUAUCACUGAUAAUAAUAAGACAAUAAUGCAUUUUAAACUGCAAAUCCAUUUUCAGAAGUUUCUAUCCUCAUGACUGUUCCACAGUAGCUGUUUGAGGGCUUUGCUGUAAGCCAUGAUACUUUGUUUACACCUGAAUCACUCAAUGACUCAGUUUAUAAACACAGCUUUAACAGCUAUGCCAACCCUGCUGAUGCAAGCAGCUGGAGGGAGGGAUGUAGGCCAGAACUUCAAUUGGCUUUGCAGCUGAAGUACAUACACUGACUUUCAUCCCUUAAUGGGUUUUAACUCCAUCGGGCCAAGGAUGAAAACAAACACCAGUAGGUGCUCUGUACGAAAGGCCACUACACAACUGCUGCCAGCCAGUUUAAAAAAAAAAAGUGAAAUAAAUGGCCCCAUUGAGCUCAGUGUCUGAAAAAUGGAAAGCAUUUCAAGCAACUGACUUCAAGAAAGGAUUUCAGCUCUGGAUCAGAGGCACACAUAACAACCUCUCAGAUCUGCGGUAAGAAUCUGCAGAUUGUUUACCACAUCUGGCACUCCGUGCACUGCACAGCAAGAGUCGCUGCCCACUCCUAUAUUUUAGAUUCUACUCUGGUGACCAAGAACCUGAAAUCUAUGCACUGAAGUUUUCAAUUUCACCUAUUCUUAGGUGGCUACACUGUUGAAAAUCAAGCACUAAGAAAACGCAGCCAUUACUGAAAAACAUAGCCAAGAGAUUUUGAAAUUACCUCCCUCUACCAACUUUUCAUAUAUUAGAGGUACUUACUUCUCCUCCGAGAACCCUGGCCAGUAAAAAAAUUGUCAAGGAUCCAAAUAUCCAGAUAGUUAUAAUCCAAGAAACAACCUUAAAAUGGAAGGAACAAUUAAUUUAUAUUACUCUUUUUCACUGUAAGGAAGGACAAAUUAUAAAUCGCCUCAAUGCACUCAAGAGUUUUAUUACACAAAAUUAAGUUCUGAAUUGCAGCAAGCGUAGUUUUUUUCAGUAUCACAAUGGGGCUUGAAAACAAAAUUCAGAUGUUACAUUUACAAAACCACAGUAAUGGUAAGUUUGAUGAAGAAGGAACGCUUAAGUGGAGUUUUGUAAGUACUAUACUAUUGCAUCAGAGCAGGAUGAGGUUAGCUAAAAGUAAAGCUAAGAUCACUCUACUUAAACAUCUUCACUUCUUCAAAAAAAAUUGGCUCAGGUUUUUUGUUUGGUUGGUUUGCUUUUUGAUAUUUUCCUUAUGUCAGCCCAACCAGUACAAAGAGUUGAGAUUCUCCUUCCUUCAUCUAUAAAGACCAACUUAAUUCUUUUCUCAGACCAGGAAGACUCAGAAGAAGGCACGGGACUUUACAUUGUAAUCAUGAAGUUUUACCAAGAAUUAACAAACAGAUCCAGAGUCCUGGGAAAAAAAAAACAACUGUAAUUAUUUUCCUCCUUCUUUCACUGUUUCAGAAGUCUUAAAAUCAUUCUCCAGCUUAACAGAACCUUCAAAGUAACUUCGGUGUUCCUGGGGUUCAGUCACUGGGUGGGUAAGAAACAAAGCUCUCCCUUUUGAAAUACUUGUUUAGAUGGAAAUAAUAAUCUCAGUCCACUCUUCGUAUGUUUGACCAUGCCAUGGCAGCACUUAAAAAUGAAUAUUAGUACUCAACUCAAUUUUUUCCACAUAAGUUCCAGAUUUACAGAAGAAUCAAAAAGGGGAUGAAGGUACUUAUUUUUUAACUGAUAAAAAUAAUAUACCUUGGAAAAAAAAAUAGAUAAAUAUAACAUUGUUAUUUGUGAAAAUAGCACAUCCUCCUUCUACUUCCUGCUUUCCUCCACUGUCUAAAAGAAGAGAACCAGAUUAAAGUUUUAGAGCAGCAAUGCUCAUCUCUCUCCAGCUUACAGCCCACCUAGCUCAUCUAGCCUAGCUGCUGCCAUCCAUUCUGUUGCUAGCUACCAGCUUUCCUUUCUAACACAAAAAAGCACUCUUACAUCUAUAUGGUAAACCCAUGUUCCUAACGAACGUUAGACCCACUGUUCACACGCAGUAGAUACACAAACAAGAGUAGCACACUGAUCCAUCGUGGGAUUGAGGGAUUGUCCCUGCUUUGUCUAGAAAACAGCUAAGUGGUGCACCCAGAAGAUUUGAAUCCUAUGGGGUUUGUCACUCACUUCAAGUCUCACAGAAACAUGACAGAGUGAAUUCUUCAUCACCAUUUGUUAUACCAAAGGGAAGCCAGAGGCCACAGAGAGCCUUUCUCACCUUUCCCAAAAAUCCUAGCAUAGACAUACUCUGCUACUUUACAUAUAUGCCUUACUGCUAUUCUACACUGUAAUUAAAAAAUUCUGUAACUACACACAUAGUCAAAGAUUUCCAUAGAGGGAUGCAAUUAACUACUGGGCAAACAUCACCUAGGCUCACAGUCAAAUUGUGACUGUAAAUGAUAGCACUUCUCUAUUUCAUUCGAAUGUGAGGUUAACUGUUUAGAGAAGCCAAGUAAAUCUGCACAGUACCUUCAAAUAACUAUUCAGUCUUGAGUUCAAAAAGAAUUAUAUGCAAAUUCUAUUAACCAGAGGAAAGUUAUUGUAAUUGAGCACAGAGGACAAAAGAGUAACGUGCACUAAUGAAGACUAAACGUACCAGAAAACCGUUGCAAUAUAUCACAGAUUAAACAAAUAGCUUAAUCUGCUGGGAAAUUAGAAUUCAUGACAUCUACACAAACGUUCUUUGGUAUUGCUUUUAGUAAUAAAAAGCAAGUUAACAAAAGGUUACAACUAAAAUGGAAAGAUUCACUAAUGACUAUAAAUGUAUUAGCAUUGAUCUAUUUCCUCUAGAAACCACAUCUUUCUUUCAUUUUAUUAUAUAAAAAAGCCUGGCAUUUUAAUAAAGAUUAACUUUUCAGUAUGUUAUUUAAUAAAUUUCUUAUUGCUAUCUUUCUACAUCAUAAGUCAAGAAGCUAUAUUUAGAAUGCCCUACAUUAAUAUGUGAAGAAGAGACUUUCUGCCUACAUAAGAAUGCAAAUCACUUAGCAAUAAUGUCCCCAAAUUUAGUUCAGAUUUCUUUUUUAGGUAGAAGGUUUGUACCUACCUUAAAUUGUCCAUAUAAUGAAAUCAUUGAGAAGAAGAGGACAACUGCCAGAGGACCCCAGAAAUCUGGAUUGUCUCUCACUACCUGCCUAUUAAACCCAAGAGAUGGCAUAGGCAUCAACACACAUCGAAUUUUGUAGUAAAUAUCCUUCAGAUCAAUGUCGAGUUCUUCCAGGAGUGGCUUGUUAUCUUCUGGGUCAUCAUCUUCCACUUCCAGAAGCCAGCCAUACCCCCUCUGCCUCAGGAAUGUAGUUGCAGACGAUUCUUUGAUGAAUUCUCCUCCAAGAUUUAGCUUCACAUCUGGAGUUGUUAUGGAGCCACUC